rnacentral:rRNA from 1 species
UGCUAAGCGUAUACGGGCGCACGACGGAUGCCUUGGCAUCAGGAGGCUAUGAAGGACGCGGAAGACUGCGAUAAGCGUCGGGGAGCUGUCAACGAGCUUUGAUCCGGCGAUUUCCGAAUGGGGCAACCCGGCCACCUUCAUCGGUGGUCAUUGACGGAUGAAUCAAAUAGUCCGUCAAAGUCAUACCAGGGGAAGUGAAACAUCUCAGUACCCUGAGGAACAUAAAUCAAACGAGAUUGCGUAAGUAGUGGCGAGCGAAAGCGCAAGAGCCCAAACCGAGAAGCUUGCUUUUCGGGGUUGCGGGACCGGGACGUGGUAUCAAUGCGGUUAGGUGAACGGACUGGAAAGUCCGGCCAUAGCGGGUGAUAGCCCUUUAACCGAAAACCAAGUUGAGCCUACCGGUAUCCCAAUUAGGACGGUGCACGUGAAACGCCGUCUGAAUCCGGGGGGACCACCCUCCAAGGCUAAAUACUACCUGAUGACCGAUAGUGAACUAGUACCGCGAGGG